rnacentral:rRNA from 1 species
GAUGAACGCUGGCGGCGUGCCUAAUACAUGCAAGUCGAGCGAACGGACGAGAAGCUUGCUUCUCUGAUGUUAGCGGCGGACGGGUGAGUAACACGUGGAUAACCUACCUAUAAGACUGGGAUAACUUCGGGAAACCGGAGCUAAUACCGGAUGAUAUUUUGAACCGCAUGGUUCAAAAGUGAAAGACGGUCUUGCUGUCACUUAUAGAUGGAUCCGCGCUGCAUUAGCUAGUUGGUAAGGUAACGGCUUACCAAGGCAACGAUGCAUAGCCGACCUGAGAGGGUGAUCGGCCACACUGGAACUGAGACACGGUCCAGACUCCUACGGGAGGCAGCAGUAGGGAAUCUUCCGCAAUGGGCGAAAGCCUGACGGAGCAACGCCGCGUGAGUGAUGAAGGUCUUCGGAUCGUAAAACUCUGUUAUUAGGGAAGAACAUAUGUGUAAGUAACUGAGCACAUCUUGACGGUACCUAAUCAGAAAGCCACGGCUAACUACGUG